rnacentral:rRNA from 1 species
GACGAACGCUGGCGGCGUGCCUAAUACAUGCAAGUCGAACGCAGUGGGGACGGGUGAGUAAAACGUGGGUAACCUCCCAUCAGAGGGGAUAAAACUUGGAAACAGGUGCUAAACCGAUACUGAUGGAUGGACCCGCGGUGCAUUCGCUCGUUGGUGAGGUAACGGCUUACCAAGGCCACGAUGCCUAGCUGACCUUAGAGGGUGAUCGGCCACAGUGGAACUGAGACACGGCCCAGACUCCUACGGGAGGCAGCAGUAGGGAAUCUUCGGCAAUGGACGAAAGUCUGACCGAGCAACGCCGCGUGAGUGAAGAAGGUUUUCGGAUCGUAAACCUCUGUUGUUAGAGAAGCGGUAUCUAACCAGAAAGCCACGGCUAACUACGUGCCAGCAGCCGCGGUAAGUC